ACCUAGUGAUGUGGUCAUUUACGAAGCAGGUCCCUAAAUUGCUUCCAAGUCUCAAAAAAAGGUUCCCCACCCAUCUGUGAGAAACUUGUGAUGGAUCUCCGAAGCU